UACGGAGGGGGCGAGCGUUAUUCGGAAUUAUUGGGCGUAAAGGGCGCGUAGGCGGCUGAACAAGUCAAAGGUGAAAUCCCUCGGCUCAACUGAGGAACUGCCUUUGAAACUGUUCGGCUUGAGGCCGGGAGGGGGUAGCGGAAUUCCCAGUGUAGCGGUGAAAUGCGUAGAUAUUGGGAGGAACACCAGUGGCGAAGGCGGCUACCUGGCCUGUUCUUGACGCUGAGGCGCGAAAGCUAGGGUAGCAAACGGG
rnacentral:rRNA from 1 species